UACGAAGGGGGCUAGCGUUGCUCGGAAUUACUGGGCGUAAAGGGAGCGUAGGCGGAUAGUUCAGUCAGAGGUGAAAGCCCAGGGCUCAACCUUGGAAUUGCCUUUGAUACUGGCUGUCUUGAGUAUGGGAGAGGUUAGCGGAACUCCGAGUGUAGAGGUGAAAUUCGUAGAUAUUCGGAAGAACACCAGUGGCGAAGGCGGCUAACUGGCCCAUUACUGACGACUGAGGCU
rnacentral:rRNA from 1 species